rnacentral:tRNA from 1 species
UCCUGAGUAGCUCAGUGGUAGAGCGAUCGGCUGUUAACCGAUUGGUCGUAGGUUCAAGUCCUACCUCAGGAGCCA